UCAUGAUCUCAGAGUUGUGAGGUCAAGCCCUAAUUCAGGCUCCCCGUUCAGCAGGAAGUCUGCUUUAGCAACCCAUAAAAUUACUUUAGAAUUAAAUAAGAUAUGUAAGCUUAUAAAUAAUAUACCAUAUAAAGAGUCUGGCACUUAGUAGACAUUCAAGAAAUGAUAGUUUUGCUUUGCACCUUUUAUCCAGCAAGUGUGUAAACUUUAUGAGCUAACAGUUGAAAAAUCAGCUCUUUGAUUACAAGAAAUGAGAACAAAUCCACUGAACGGUGUGUAGCUUUGCUCUAUCAGUGCGCGCCAAGAUUCUUUCAUUUUGGGCUUCAUCACAUUAUCUUAGCAAACCAGACAAAAAUGUCCAAGUGAUUUUGUUUUCCAAACUGCAUCAUACACUUCAAAGUGCCAUCUGCUUGUGACUUGUUACAAAACAACAGAGCCAUUUGGUGACAUUUUAAAAAGUGACCAGUGUUUGUUACCAAGGGACAUAAUUCCUAGAAUUUGUGCAAUUUGUUCUGUGCUGUUGAGACGUGAAGUAAAUCCUGCACAGAAACUCUCAGCUGUUUCAAUACAUUAUCCUUAUCUUAAUCCCCGAAUCCAAGUCUUAAAUUGCAUUUUUUUCCAUUUUAAUUAUCUCCCCAUGUCACCCCAACCUUUCCAGUCAAAGGUGGAUAUUUAAAGCUUAUCACCUCAUAGUCACCACUGCAAAAUUAAAAAGAGAAAAUGAAACAAACCAAAAAGAGUUCACAGCUUUGCCAAGUCAAAAUCCACCCAUCAGCCAAAAUCUCAUGUCCGCGCUAUGAUCAGGUGGAUAAAAAUGAUAGAACAUAACUCAAAGUCAUUGGCUUUUGUUCACAUAUGAGUGAACUUUUUAAAGUCAUCUUUAGCAAGCCAUUUAACUUUAUUCUCCCCAUCCUUACCUGGAAAAAUUAAUGAACAUCCCUGCCCCUCCCAUCUCACUUGGUUGAUAAGAAAACCAUUGAGAUAAUGUGCUAGAUGUGCCAUUCAAAAUAACACAUGAUAUACUCAAGCGUGUUUCAGCAUUUCCUGUCUAUUGUAGUACAAUUUGUACCAUAUCGUAGUGCCUAAUGAAUUGCAUAACCUUCUCAGGUUCCCCUCUGAUUUCUCACCUUAUUUUAACCUUUCUUGACAAGAUGCCACUGCUCUUCCGUCACUCUCUCUUCCAUACCUCAGUGUGAAUGUAGCCAGUUCUUCCUGGCUUCUACCUGAUUUCUAGCUGUUCAGACUAAAUAUCCAGGUCUCUGCAGGCUGACCACCUCUUUUCCUGGCUAGAAUGAAGCCAAAUUCAUUUCACAUUCAUUAAAUGUAUGCUUAUUUAUUGAAUCAGAAGUGAUCCAAAUAGACAAAAAUCCCUGCCCUCCUUGAGAUUACAUUUCAGUCCUCUGGCCUCACCAGUGUAGGCAUACUGAUGAGGACAUCUCAAAGUCAACAAUCUGAUAUCAUGCUGUCUGGUCUCACUAAGAUCCUUGCCCCAAGUGUUUCUAUGCUGUGCUAACAUGUGCUCAUGAAUUCCUGCACAACAGUCACCAUGUAAAUCAUGGUCCAAAUCAUAGUCCUCUAUGCAAAUCACAAACCUUGAUGGGGUCCAACUUGAGAAUGGUAACAUUCAAAUGAUGGACGUAAUCUCUUGUUUUCCCAAAGUUGAUCAUCUUCAUGCAGCCAGAGUGGUGCUAAGUUCUGGGUAAAGACGGAGAGAAAGCCACUUUCCCAUGGUGAGUCACCUGGCUCCAAAGUAGUUGUGCUUAUACCCAGAGAUUAAAAUCUUUACUGGAAAUAUCUUCCUGAAAAGUUUCCCUGGAAAUAUUUCUUUCAACAUCUGACAUUAACAACUCUCUCCAUAAAGACUGAAAACCAGUCACUGGGCAGGAAACAGAAAUAAUUUAUAUCCUCUACUGUCCAUAUAUAUCCCCCUCCCCAUUCAGAUAUGUGUACACACAUAUCCCCACACCUCUUACCUCUCCUUAAUGGUCAAUAUGCUACUUCUAGUUGGCCUUAGUUAGAACACUCUAGAAACCAAUGAAAUCUGGGCAAUCUAUCUAAGCUGUUGUCCCUUCAAAUUACUAGAGCUUGGAAAUAGUUAUUUCCAUCUACUCCCAAGCACAGAAUGGCCAGGCCCAACUGAAUGCCUUCAGGUAGCAGCUUCUGAAGCACUCUUAGAAACAGCUGAUCUGCUUUCUUCACCUUUUAUUGGUCCUGCAAGUUGCUUUUAACCCACCCAGUCCAUUUUCCUUGGAAGAACAGAGAAGUAUGGUAGUUAGAGGUGGGUCAAGGGAGCCAAGUCAAGGUUAUUUCAGGAUGGAAAAGACUUCAACAUUGAUACAGACUGAGAGCAAUCAGCCAGUGCUAGAAGAUGAAGAUACUAGAGAAUGAGAGAAGGUAUGUGAGCCAGGUAAUCUAAGAGAGGCAAGAGGUAGAUCGAAACAACCCCCCAGGGGUGUGUUCGGUUUUGAACAAGCAUGGGUCCUGCCUCACGCCAGUGUCAAAUGAGACUGGUAGGAAGCAAGUGAAAAUGGAUGGAAAUGUGGGUAAAUUAGGGAUGAUAGAAAAAUUGCAGGGAUCCUGAUUGUGCUCUCUGUUUUUCUCUAGAAGGUUGGAAGUGGGAUCAUUGCUUAUGAUAUGGACAGUGAGCUGAUUAAAUGUGUAUGGCAAGUACCCAGCCCAGUUCUCAUCAUAGAGAAAGCACUAGAAAAAAAAUUAUAUUUACUUCUCUUCCCCUUGACGGAUUGAAAUCUAUAGCAAAUGUUUAUCUCCAAAAAACAUCAUAUAAAAAUAGCCACCAUGACACCAGCCAUAUAUUUUGCAUUUUAAGUGAAACACAUGAGCUUUCCUGAAACUUUUAUUUUAAACUCUGAACUAUAAUGACCUCUCUACACUCAUCUCAGUUUUGAAAAUAACUUGGCUCAAGUGCAGACUGUCAGAGAAGCCCUCUGACCACACAUAUUCUCUUUCUGUGACCCACAAGCCUAGAGAAUGUCCUGGAACCUUGCCAGCAAAGAGGUGUGUGGAGGAAGAAAGCUGAACUCUUGGAGCUUUUGAUUUCAGUGCUAUAAAAAUGGUUCCAGACAUGACAAAUGAGAGGGAGAUAAUCUAAAACACGGAUUGUUUCCAUGUUUGCCCUUUGAAGAUUUUAAUAAGCAUCAGCUUUCUUGGGCCAAAUCAGGUUCUUAGCUUCCAAAUCUUUCAGAUUUAGAUGGUCUUCCUUUGACUACUUGAAAUCAUAAGGGUUCGUUUGGGGAGGUUUCAUGCUCAAACUUGAGGGCAGCUGGCUGACACACCACAGCAGGUGGUGGCCUCUGAGGGGAGAAGAGGUUCUCCUUCUGCUUGCCCUACCACCCUUCGCCCACAACAUGAGGGGGAGGAGCAUGGAUGUGGGUGGACUAGGUCCAGAUUCAGCCAGGUUUGAAGGUUCCCAAGAGGAGACUUCUCUUGUAUGAACAAGGGUUAUGAGUUUGAGAUUUCCUGAACACUGGUUUUCUCAAUCUCUCUCUCUCUCUCUCGUAAGUAAGUACUAGUCUCUUUGACUUGUCUUUUAAGAAUUCUGGUCACCCGCAAGAUCGGUAUAGUCAUAGAGAGCCAGGAUUAAGUAGUCACAAAGUGCCUGGCACUAUUCUAGGCACUUGGGACAGAGCUGAUAUCAAAACAGCCCAACUUCCUCCUCUAGAUGUUACAGUCCACUUGAGGAGUAGACAAACAAAGACAACAAAAGAUGUGCCUGUCACGAGGUGAUGAAGACAAUGAAGAGGGAAGUAGGUGAGAGAGAGGCAGGUGUGCUGCUUUAGAAAGGUGGGUCAGGGAAGACUGGGGCCAAAUCCAAUACUUGAGCAGAGACUGGAAGAUAAAGAAGAAUGAGUCAUGCCAGCCUCUGGGGGAAGAGCAUUUUGGGCUGGGGAGUAAAAACAUGGAGAGAAGUAAUGUUUUAUGGCCCUUGGUUCAUUCCAGAAACAGGAGGAUGCCAGGUGGCUGGAAUGAAGUGCAUGAGGCAGGAUGUGAGGUCAGAAGGGAGUGGGGAUCAAGCCCAUCUAAGGCCUUGCAAGGGCCUUGAGCUUUAUCUCAAGGGAUGCAGGAAGCUAUUGCAGGGUUUUGAGCAUGAGAGUGACUGACAGGCUCUGACUUAAGUUCUAAAACCAGUCUAAGACUGCUAUUUGGGAAACGGACUGUUGGGUGAAUGAUAUCAUCCCUGCUCCAGUUCUCAGCAGGCUUGCCAAACUUAUUAUUAUUUCAACAACAAUAGCAGGCUCAGUUGAUAAAGAAUUCACAGACCAAAAUAAAAGGGACAUGCAUAAAAUAUCUGACAAUGAUCCACCUUACAGCUUAUAUUUUACAUUGCAUUGCUCUGCUUGAGGGCAGACUAAUCCCAUCACAGCACAGUAAUAAAAUGUAAUUAAUUUGAUUAAGGACAUUUCUAUUUGUGACAUUUUAUUUCACCAGCCAGAAAGCUCAAAUACCAGACUGCUUUGUUCAAAACCAGACCUGAACGCCAAAAGAAAAAUUGUCUGUUGCCUUUGUUUUCCCUGGACCUGCCUUUCCUGACAGUCAGAGUGAUAUCUCCCAGAACGUGGGAAGGAUGUUUGUGUCCCAGCCCAGCUCACCAGGGUUAUGGAGUCCUACUUGGGCAUUUAUGACCAAAGCUCUAGCUGUAACAAGAUGCUCCUUUGUCUGGCCUUGUCUCUUGUACAUGGGACUCUUUGGGGCCAGCGAGGGGGUGGGAGGUGCUAAUAUAGGAACGAGCUAAUUGAAGACUUAGCUGUGAGAAAUGAUGGAUCCCAAUCAAAUCAUCAUUUGGUAGAUUUUCAUUUGGUGGUUUAUCAUCAUUGGUAGAUUUUAUUUAAUUACUUCAUCAACAAAUACAUGCCCCUACUAUACACCAGAUGCUGUUCUAGAUGCUCAGGACUCAGCAACCAAAAGCACAAACAAAAAUACUGUCUCCACAGAGCUUCCACUUCAUAGGUGAAGACAGAUGAUUCCAAAAUAAAUUUAAAACAUAGUAUGUUAUAUAAUAAUACAUGCAACGGGCCAAAAAAAAAAAAAAAAGGCAAAGAAGGGAGUAUGGAAUGGCUGGAUUUGUAAUUUUGGGAAGAGUGAUCAGAGAGGCCUCACAGGAAAAGAGAAAUCUGAGUAUAAAGCUGAAGUGGUGGUACAGCAAGGUGAUGAUCAAUAUAGAUAGUGUAGUUCUCGGUAUAAGUAUAGAUACAGAUGUAGAUGUAGAUAUACAUAUAUGUGUAGAUAUACACAUGCAUGAACACAUUACCUACACAUAUACAUAUAGGUAUUAAUGAUAGAAGUAUAGGUAUAGAUAUGGACAUACAUCUGAGGGAAAGCUUUCUAGGCAGGAAGGACAGUAUAUGCAAAUAUCCUUGAGAAACACCCUUGAAGAGCAACACAGAGACAGUGUGGCUGGAGCAAAGUGAGCAAAGAAGAGAUAGGUAGAUUAUGGGUUCACAUGGUGGGGAGGGGUAGGCCAUCGAAGGUUUGUGGCUCAUUCUAAGUCUUUACUUUGUAAUCUGAGUAAGAAGGGAUGCCAUCAGAGGGUGGUACAGGAGUGCUCUUCCUGCCAAGUGCCUUCUUCAAGGGCAGGAGCAAAAAGGCCAGGUGGAAAUAGUUGCAAUAACUCAGGCAGGAGUUAACGUGGAAAGGAACAAGGGUGGCAGCAGUGAAGAUGGUGAAGAUAGGUGAGAUGCUUGAGACAGUGCUUAAGGAGAGCCACAGAGAAUUGUCACUAAGGUACAGUUCAUGGGAAUGAGGAGCAUCAAGGGCAACUGUAAGGUAUUUGGUUUGAGCAUCGGAAAAAAAUUGUUAACAAUUACAUGAGGAAGAACAUGGCAGAAAGAAAUGACAGAGAGCAGGUUGGGUACGCAGCACUGAGAGGAGGAUUGCUGGAGUGAUGUCAUUGAGAAGGUGAGAGGGGGAGCGGGACGAGGGGUUGGGAUCCAGUGCACGGGUGUUAGGUUGGCUUGGGAUGGAAGCACAAACAGUUCAUUCUAACAAGAGAUUAGCAGAGCAUACACACAUGAUAUCACACAAAAGGGGGUAUCCAUGUGGUGGUGGGAGCUUGUAUGUCUUCUGAUUACUUCUAUUUCCUGGAUAAAAUGAGAAAUAAGGUCAUUCAUUGAACAUGACCAUGGAGGAAGAGGUGUUGGAGAUUUAAAACUAGAAGACAAGGUAUGAAAUAGUUAUAAAAGAGAGUGGUAUGGUUAAUGAAAUAAGAAAAUAUAGUAUAACUGAUGGGCAGCAUUAAUCAAAGACCCUUCUGAAAGGAACAAUCACAUUUGGAGACGGAGGGCAUCAGUCUGGUUGUGUGUUUUUCUCUAGUGCAUCUAGCCAAAGUGGUGGUUUCGUUAUAUAAGGUUCAGUAAAACAAAAGAGAGGCCAAGGAGUCACGGGUGUAUUGCAGAGAGUAAUUAUCAUAGAAUCUAAAUGGGUGAGGACUUGAAUAAGAGAUAGAAUGAAAAUGGUAGUGUCCAAGUAAAAUCAAUAGUUGUUGGAUUUGGGAUACUGGAUGGAAUGCCAGAAAAGAAGUGGUAGUAGGACAGCAGGAAGCAUGAAACUGAGUUUGUGAAGAUACUGUAGUUAUAAGUAGUAUGUUCUCUGUAUGAUCAUGUGAGUAAGAGUAUGAGGCUGAGUGAGAGACAAGACCAUUGAAAGAAAGUCAAGGGGCUGUAAGGCCAGGGUAUGUGAUAGGUUUUCUAAGGAGAUGCUGAGUCACCUAGAAUUAUGGCAGUGAUGUCAGAGAAAGUGACUGACAGAGGCCAGGAGCUGAAAUCUCCAAGAUAUGAAGGGAGUGAAGUAAAUUAGUAGGUGACAUCAACCAGGAGGACUGGUGGGGAUGGAUGGACGGAUGACAUAAGUGAGACUUGACCCUGGAGAGAUGGAAGGAGACAAGAGAAUGAAAUGGCAAGAAGGAACACAGAGGUCCUAUUGUAUAUCUGGGCCCAGUGGAAUGAGGACUGAGGGGUAGAAAACAUCCACCACAUGAGUGUGCUACAGGGACAGAGGUGUCCUCAAGGGGAUGGCCAAGCUGAAGUCAGAACAAGAAGAUGCAAUGACAUUCGGAAUGGAGGGUGAGGAUACAAGGCCCUUUGCUGAUGAGUGACCUUGGGUUCUAAAAGGCACCAGGGAAGGAAGGGGUAGGAGAUAGGUCAGGAAAGGAGCCAGAGUGAUGAGAGUCCACAAGAUGAGUGAUGACCUGGAAGUCUGGAAGGACAUGAAUGGGGAUAAAGAAUGUGAUAAGACUCCCCUAAUAUCUCAAGGUAAAGAGUGAAGGUGAGUCUGUAAGUGGGAGGAGGACCGAGGUGGGGUCUACAGGAACCAUGACAGGUUUAUGGAGGCUUGAAGAUGGGAGGGUGAGGAGUUGUCUGGAGCACCCAGAAAGCUCUGGGACGUUUUCCUUGCUCCCCAUAGAGAUUUUCAUGGACUAUCUUGUGGGGUUCAGGUACACUGAUAAUCCUGGAUUAUAAAAAAUGAGAAGGUGGGAGGCAAGAAAGGAGGCCGAGGUGGUCAGAAGGGACAGGUUAUGGAGAACUGUGAAUCAUUUUGAAGACCUGGGGCUUUACCCAGAAGACCAGGGUUCUUAGUCUUGUGAUGUGACAGGGCCCUUUGGAACACUAAAGAUUGUGGUCUUACCUCUACUCUCACAUAACCCUGCACAUCCAUUCUGCCUACCAUGUCAAGGAGAAUUUGUCAUUUGUCUGUGUUAGUGUUCAACCAGAGAACAAGAACCAGUAGAAGAUAAUAUAUAUUAAUCAAUAUAUGGUAAGCAAUCGGACUCUGCAAUUGUGAAGAUUGUCUGGGAAUUCCAAAAUCUGUAGGGAGACCUCCAGGAAGGACACUCUAGGACUUUUAGGCAUGAAGAGAUGCUGCAGAACUUAGGUGGGAUUUCUUCUUUGUUCGGGAAGCCUCAGCUCUGCUCUUAAGACCUUUUAACUGACUAAAUCAUGCCCACCAGAUUACCUAGAAAAGCCUCCUUUACUUAAAGUCAACGGGUUAUAGAUUUUAAUCACUUCUGCAAAAUUCCUUCAUCCCAAAACCCAGAUGAAUGUUUGAUGAAAAUCUGGGGACUGAAGCCUAGCCAAUAAAACUGGCCAUGGCAUCAGUAUAUUCCCUAAAGUCUAUAGAUCCACGGCUGGGGCUCCUAUUGUGAGCGAGCAGGAGUCCAUGAAGGGAGAAGGGUAAGAUGGUCCACCUUGCAGCUCAGAAAGAUCAGAUCUUCAUGCUUAAGUGGUAAAAAUUCUUAGUAAAGAAUUUGAGUAAACAGUACUAAAAAUAAAAUAUGACUUUCUCCAGUGCAAAUCCAUGUGAACUACAGUUGGUCUCAGUGGGAAAUCAAGCAAGUUGGAAAGAACCCCAAAGAAAAGUUAUUCCAAAUUUCCCUGGAUAUCUCAAGAAAGGGAGUAUCUGUCCAGUAUGCAAGGAUUUUUAAGUAAUAGUUCAAAAUUCUUAAUAACUAUCUCAUCUUCCACUGAAUUCGCAAUUAAUGAGUUGACAAAUCUUUACAGGCACCUAAUCAGUGUCCAGGAUUCCAGUGAAAAAGGAAAAAAAUAAUUAGCCACAGUCGGCCUCACCCCUUGUCAAGAAGCAGUCUCUUUGGGGGUCCAUCAGUUAGCGCCUUUUCAACCGAAAGUGACAGAACACCCAACUCAAGAUGCUUCAAAGUAAGAAAUGGGGAGGGGAUUUCUUAAUGCAUAGAACUAAAAUCUCGGGUAGAUCUUCUGGCUUCAGGUUCUAUUGAAUCCAGUUACUCUAAGGAUAUGGCCUGAACUCUGUCUUUCCACAUCUCUUGGUUAUGCUUUUCCUUGAGUUGACUUCACUGUUGGUCAAGUCUCUCCUUACAGUGGCAGGUAGGGUCACCAACAGCUACAGGCCUACAUCCUUGUAGUUCAGCAAUCCCAGCAGAAAAGUCCCACCACUGAGUUUCUCUGAACUCAUUUAAGUCACUAGCUCUCCCUUGAAUGAAUAAUUGUGACCAGAGUAAUGUAACACGCUGGAGAGGCUGGGGCAUGGGCAGACCUCACCAGAACCACAAGUUCUGAGGGGAAGAGAGAAGAAAAGGUCCCCAAGGGAAAAUCAAGAGGGUAUUCCAGAAGAGGGAAUGGAUGUUUGGUAAACAACAAGAGUCAAGGCCCAAAGGAACAUUGCAACUCAAGAUCCAGAAACCAGGGCAAGUCAGAAGAGAACUGAGAAUUCCACUGGGCUCCCUGCCCUAAACCACAAGGCUGUUUCCUCUCUAAGGGCAGCUAAUAACAACACUUACUCUGUUUCACAACUGCAACCAUUCUUAAAAGUCAAAUGAGAUAUAUGCUAAUAUACCUUAAAAAUAAUAAACAUUAUGUAUUUAAAAAGAUAUAAUGAUAGCCCAACCAACGAGGUGAGGCUGGGUUUGUGCUGGAAAGGGGAAGCGGGAAGGCAGAGAACAAGCAGGAAGAAAUACCACUAUUUGGAUGAAGUUACUCACAGGUAAAGAGAUUUGUUUUGGUUUGUUAGCAUAGUUAGUCAACAUAGUUAACAUAGUUAGCCUUAGUAAGUUUGUAUUCAGAAUUCCAUGGGCAAGAAUGAAUUAAAAUAAUAGUAGUGAGAGGCGCCUGGUUGGUUUAGUCAGUUGAGCAUCAGACUCUUGGUUUCCGCUCAGGGUCCUGGGACCAAGCCCCACUGCAGGCUCUGUGCUCAGCGUGGAGUCUUCUCCUUUUCCCUCUGCCCCUCACUCCCUCCACACUCUCUCUCUCUCCCUCUCUGUCAAAUAAAUAAAAUCUUUUAAAAAACAUAAAAAUAAUAGUAGUGAGAGUUACAGAUUUAUUCCCUACUAACUGCGUGACUUUGGGAAGGUUAUUUUAACUUCUCACUGUCCGUUUCGUCAUUUGUAAAAAGCACCAUAAUAGCUGUACCCUACUCAGGAUAAAUGCGAGGAUUAAAUGUGUUAAUAUAGGUAAAGUGCUGGGCAUAGACUAAGUGUUCUACAAAUAUUAACUAUUUUUAUCGGUCCUCAAAACCCAUUGGUAGGUAUUCUUAACACCAUUUUUCUACAUUAAAACACUGACACAUAAAAGAAUUUAGUGGAUAAGGAAAGAUGUGAACCCAGGUCUGACUGACUGCAUUUCAUGCUCUUUCUGUUGCAACAAGGACUUUGUAAAUACAGGCAGGCAGGGAGGGAAGGAGAGGGAAGGAAGGAGGGACAGAAAAGCAUUCACGAGUAUCCAGAUCCUUAAACUGGAUUUACUUUCACAACAGUUAACCAGAGAUUCUGGAAUAUUCUUUUAGCCUUGGAUUGAGUGAUAUUAAUUUAAAUGGUUUUGUUAGAGAAAGUUUUGGCCAGCACAAAAGGAAGUGAAAAUUUGAGGAAUGUGCCAGAGACACCAAGCUGAAUUUAAUUAUUCUUCUCUGGAAAUUCCCAAACUCUCCAUUCCUCCAGACAUCGAGAAACUCAACUCCAUUUUCCUCCCAGGAAGCCCAGAUGGCACAACCAUCCACCUCGUGGUCCUCACCUGUGUCUAUCUAGAAGCGCUCACCUGACAUCCCUCAUUCGCUCCUCAUCCCAGCCCCAGAGUGGCUCCUGCCAGCGUCACAGCCCCAAAGACAGACAAGGAGAGAGUGGCAGAGUCAUUUGUGAGCCAAGCCUAAUCCCCAAGCCUUCUGCUCCUUCAGCUCUGUGCUGGCCUUUGUCCGUAAAAGCAGCCCCAGCCCUGGGGCCUUGGCCCCCCUGCCACCCUGCACAACCCUGUGGGACAUCCGUGUCCAUAGCCUCUCCAGGGACGCCCAGUCGCAGCCCUCGUUCCCGGAGAGCGCCACCAGAAGCUUCCCAGGCACCGACAGGCAGAGCACAGGGAGUAAGCCCAUCCCCCUAGGUAUCUCAAGAUUUAAAGGACACACCAUAUCCCAGGAAAAAUCAGCAAAUUUAGAAGCAUUGGAACACGUACUGUGAAGAUACUGAAAUUCAAAGGGACGUGUCCUGUCUGCAACGUGUAGAGAACAAGAAUCACAUGAUUCCUCUCAACCACCCCUACCAACACUCAACAUGAAAACAUCAACUAAGUUCUAGGGGCAAAAGGGAAGCCCGAGAGUUUUCUACUCAGCCAAAUUGUACCACUAUUACAAGAAACCAAUGUUCUUAAACAUGCAAGAAUUCAAGGACUACAGCAACAAAGGGCUUUCUGAAAAAUACUUACUGAUGAAAUCCAGCAUUCUAAGGCAUGAAUCGAAAUUAAACACCGAGCACCGUAAAAGGACAACCAUAAGCAUUGGAUCCACUUAAACACAGAACCAAAGCUGAGCAACCGUGGGAAUGAGUUGAUGGAACAGAAUAUAAAUGUUAUAAUUCCAAAAAAUCUAAAAAUAAUAAUGUAACUAACAGGGGCGCCUGGGUGGCUCAGUCCAUUAAGCAUCUGCCUUUGGCUCAGGUCAUGAUCCCAGGGUUCUGGGAUCGAGUCCCACAUCGGGCUCCCUGCUUGGCGGGAAGCCUGCUUCUCCCUCUCCCACUCCCCCUGCUUGUGUUCCCUCUCUUGUGUUCUCUCUCUCUCUGUCAAAUAAAUAAAAUAAAAUCUUUUAAAAAAAAUAAAAAUAAAAAAUAAAUAAUGUAACUAACAAAAAUCAGGAGGCCGGGGGUGGAAAGGAAAAGAAAGUGCAUAAAAUCUCCCUUUCACAGCACAAAGUUAAUACCUGUCAUGUACAAUUGAAACAUCCAGUUUUCAAAAAGUGAAAUCAUGCCAAACUCUUAAUAAUUUUUUUCACAAUUGUGUCUUCACCUGAGAAAUAUCUUUUAGGAAUUAAUAGCUCUUGUUAUGAACAAAUGUUUAUGUGUAGUUCAACAAUUCCUUCAGUUUGAUUCUACUUCCUUUUUCUUCUGGUAAAUACAAGAGGACUUGGGUUUAAUCAUGUUUAUAAAAAUAGCAUGCAUCAUAUGAACUUAUUUUUGUAAAGCUGUAUCUACCAAGGCUUCUGUCUAAAUACGUGCCUGCAGAGAAGUUCAGGAUGAUGUUCAUCAGUGUUGGCAAAAUGGUUUCUGAGAGGUAGAAGCUUUUGCUUUGCUCUUUUUCUUUGUUUUUUCCUGAAAUUCUUAGAUUUUGUAGCUCUUCCUUACUGUCCUAAGCAACACAGCCUAGCCUGUGUUUCUCAUUUCAGACGCAGAGUGUUGGUCUCAUCCUGUCCCACCCUCUUACCCUAGUGAUGUGUGCAUUUCCUAGAGCUGCCAUGACAACAAACCUAGUGCUUCAGGCAACAGAAAUGCACCUGGAGACUCUGAGGUAGAAUCCAUUCCAUGCUUCUGUCCUAGAUUCCAGUGGCUGCCCCACCGCUGGGCUCCUUGACUUACAGACACAUCACUCCAAA